GAAUAUUGGACAAUGGGCGAAAGCCUGCUCCAGCCAUGCCGCGUGUGUGAAGAAGGUCUUCGGAUUGUAAAGCACUUUAAGUUGGGAGGAAGGGCGGUAAGCGAAUACCUUGCUGUUUUGACGUUACCGACAGACUAAGCACCGGCUAACCCGGUGCCAGCAGCCGCGGGAAUACAGCGGGUGCAAGCGUGAAUCGGAAUUACGGGGCGUAAAGGGGGGGGAGGUGGUGGGGUAAGUAGGAUGGGAAAUCCCCGGGAGCAACCUGGGAACUGCAUCCAAAACGGGCGAGCUAGAGUAGGGCAGAGGGUGGUGGAAUUUCCUGUGGAGGGGUGAAAUGCGUAGAUAUAGGAAGGAAAACCAGGGGCGAAGGCGACCACCUGGGCUCAUACUGACACUGAGGUGCGAAAGCGUGGGGAGCAAACAG
rnacentral:rRNA from 1 species